UACCAGCACCCCGAGUGGUCGGGACGUUUAUUGGGCCUAAAGCAUCCGUAGCCGGUUCUACAAGUCUUCCGUUAAAUCCAACUGCUUAACAGGUGGGCUGCGGAAGAUACUAUAGAGCUAGGAGGCGGGAGAGGCAAGCGGUACUCGAUGGGUAGGGUAAAAUCCGUUGAUCCAUUGAAGACCACCAGUGGCGAAGGCGGCUUGCCAGAACGCGCUCGACGGUGAGGGAUGAAAGCUGGGGGAGCAAAC
rnacentral:rRNA from 1 species